rnacentral:lncRNA from 1 species
GGGACACCACCUGAUUUAUUGUUGUUUGUAGUUUCUUCCUUAUACUCCACUGGAUUCUCAUCGGAUGUUGAUGAUGUGCUCCCGCCAACUGGGCUAAUUGUCUUUAUUAGAUUCCUACAAAAUAAAAAUUAGAUAAUUUGAAAGAUAAAAUACUGGAUUACCUCCUAACAAGCAUUAAGUUUAAGAUCUUCAGCCAGAUCAAGUUAAAGUUCACGGUGGUUCAUAGACCAAUUCAACUAGAUCCAUAGACUCGAUUUGCUCUCCAUCCCUUAUACCAUCUACAUAAUGCUUCAGUCUCUGCCCAUUAAUCUUAAAAGUAUUUUUCUACUUUGGAUUUUUAAGUUCUAUGACUCCGUGGGGAAAAACUUGGAUCAUAAUGAAUGGUCAAUCCCAAUGUGAGUGAAGUUUAUCAGGGAAUAGUCUUAAUCUAGAAUUAAAGAGCCAUACUUUUUGAUUAGGUUCGAAUAUUUUUCUUGAAAUGA